rnacentral:rRNA from 1 species
UACGGGGGGGGCAAGCGUUGUUCGGAAUUACUGGGCGUAAAGGGUUUGUAGGUGGCCAACUAAGUCAGACGUGAAAUCCCUCAGCUUAACUGGGGAACUGCGUCUGAUACUGGUUGGCUUGAGUGCAGGAGAGGAACGCGGAAUUCCAGGUGUAGCGGUGAAAUGCGUAGAUAUCUGGAGGAACACCGGUGGCGAAGGCGGCGUUCUGGACUGCAACUGACACUGAGAAACGAAAGCGUGGGGAGCGAACAGG